rnacentral:rRNA from 1 species
UUUCCGAUAGGUGAACCUGCGGAAGGAUCAUUACCGAGUUGAUUCGAGCUCCGGCUCGACUCUCCCACCCAAUGUGUACCUACCUCUGUUGCUUUGGCGGGCCGCGGUCCUCCGCACCGGCGCCCUUCGGGGGGCUGGCCAGCGCCCGCCAGAGGACCAUAAAACUCCAGUCAGUGAACUUCGCAGUCUGAAAAACAAGUUAAUAAACUAAAACUUUCAACAACGGAUCUCUUGGUUCUGGCAUCGAUGAAGAACGCAGCGAAAUGCGAUAAGUAAUGUGAAUUGCAGAAUUCAGUGAAUCAUCGAAUCUUUGAACGCACAUUGCGCCCCUUGGUAUUCCGAGGGGCAUGCCUGUUCGAGCGUCAUUUCAACCCUCAAGCUCUGCUUGGUAUUGGGCCCCGUCCUCCACGGACGCGCCUUAAAGACCUCGGCGGUGGCGUCUUGCCUCAAGCGUAGUAGAAAACACCUCGCUUUGGAGCGCACGGCGUCGCCCGCCGGACGAACCUUUGAAUUAUUUCUCAAGGUUGACCUCGGAUCAGGUAGGGAUACCCGCUGAACUUAAGCAUAUCAAUAAGCGGA